CCUAAACUGAAUACUGUACCAUAGACAGUAGGAGCCGUAAGGCAUAACAGGUUACCCUUCCUACCGAGGUUUAAAUGAAUGAUAUUUAAUGCCCUCGUAUGUCUAUGUCCGUACGAGGGUUUAGUUAUUUAUAA
rfam:Pseudobacteroides cellulosolvens ATCC 35603 = DSM 2933 ctg1, whole genome shotgun sequence.